CUUUUUCUAUUUCCUGUCGCUUGCCAAUUCCCAAUUCCCCAUCUCGUGGAUAUGGUUGGGGCUGCCGCUGGCCAAGCCGCGGCCUGCAAGGCCUCUGCCGCUCGCCAAAGCUGGCUGUGAGGCCUCCCCCGGCGUUUGCAUGGUGGAUUUGUGGACGGGGUCUGCAGCUUCGACGAGCGCCCCAGGGUGGUUUGCGGCUUUGUCGUGGUCCGGCCCCUCGAAGAGGACGGGGAUGAGUCGCUGCUCAGCCGGCUGCAGGCAGCAUCCUGCGAGGCCGCGCCAUGUCCGCCGACGCCCGAGAUUGUCUUUGGCUACGCCUAUCGACAAUCCCAGUCGGCCUUUGACUUUGCCUUCUUCGUCACUACAGCAUCUGCAAGGCCGCCGCCACCUUGCCCUCUCCAAAUAUUUCGAUCGCUCCAAACGCGACGAAAGCGGCGGCGGCCACGGCGGCAGUGUGGGGUGAUCGCAAAGAACUAGGCACCUGCAUAUCCUCCGGCGACCGUGAUGGAACCACAGCAACGUGCGCCAGACGACCUCCCUCCUGAGUACGGUUCCUCUGAUGAGUUUUUCACUGUGGAGAUACAUCACUCAGGGUUUUUUUUGUGGAAUUGGGAAGAACAUGGCAUAUCUAAAUGAGAAGGUUGAUUGGUUUGAUCACUGCAGCAAUGAUACUUGGUCUCUUCUCUUUAUGGAGGAUUUUUUGAAGCAAUUGCAUAUUAUUUUUGCUGGAUAUGUCAGGGUGUAUUGGUGUUACCAAACAGGUCGAUUGCAGAAGGGUUGCAGCCUUUGAAUUGUGAUGCCCACACUGUGUCAAUGAACAAUAUCAGCAAGACUGAGAAGAACAUAUUGUUGUAUGUUGAUCAUCACAGUUUUUUGGAGUCACAACGCAAGAAAAUGGUGGAUGUUGUCUAUGUUGAAGGGCACAAGGAGAUUCCUGAAGGACGGGGAACAAGCAAUGGUCCAAGCGAUGGUGGAGAGCUUGAAGAAAAUGAAUGGCUUUCAGAUGAUUCUGAUGGAACAUAUUUUCAGUUUGCGGACUCAAGACUAUGGCAUAGGUAUGGAUAAUGACGACCUUUAUGAGCACAAUAUUGAUGAUCAGGUUGAAGAAGAAAUGUUUGACAACAAAGGAAAGGAGGUUGUAGCUGUACCAGAUGAUAGAGAUGGCGAUGACACCCUUGAACAUGAGGACCUACAUCUACCAAUUUCUGAUGAUGAGAGCAUAAAGUUUGGUUUCAAAACUUUUAGAGCAGAUAUUGAUAUGCAAAAUCCAAUCUUCAGAGUUGGAAUGGUGUUCUCUGAUGUGAAAGAGCUUAGGCAGGCUGUUGACAUCUAUAGCAUCAAGAAUAGACGCCCUAUACAAAAAACAUGAAAUGAGAGGAAGAAGCUUGAUAGCUUGUUUUAGAUUAUAUAAUAGUAUACCAGAAAAUAGAGUGCAUGAUUGCUACUCUAUUGCCACUUACUUGAAAGCUUACGAGUACUCCAUCAUGCCAGUAAGAGGCAAGGAGCACUGGGAGAAGAUGAAUGGUGUUGAAAUGCACCCUCCGGUAUAUGAGAAGAAGGUUGGGAGGCCAAAAAAGACAAGAAGGAAGGCGCCUGUUGAGCUUGAGGGAGGGACCAAGAUCAGCAAACAUGGAGUAACCAUACAUUGCAGCAUCUGCAAGUCUGCUCACCACAACAAGAAGGGGCACUACAAAUAUGCACAACAGAACCAAGGUGUUGACGGAGCAAAUAUAGAGGUUACAAAUGAUGCAACUAAGGAAGAUGAUGAUGAUCCAACCAUCCUUCAGCUCCUGAUGCACUCUGCCGCAGGAUCCACUACAAGCCAACUCUAGGCACCUGGUCCACUACCAGUCUCUUUUUUUUCUGAACAAGAGAGAGAUGCAAUGCCUCCUCUAAGAGUGACCACUGCAAUGUCAAUAGGCAGACCGAGGAGGGGAAGAGAGAGUAGAGGUGGCACAAGAUCGACAAUAGAUGAUACAGGUGGUACAAGGAUUAGGGGCACCAGACGGCGUGGUCAAAUAAGGGGUACAACAAGUGGUAGGGUAAACAACACCAAAGGACGUGGUCGCAAAAGAGCUGCAAGAGAUGAUGAUAGUACAGGAGAACAAGUUGUCGAGAAGGUUGUCAUGUCACAGAAAGCACCAGCCUACCAUAGUCAUUAAUAAGAUCAAGAAUAAUUCAUUUUUAUUAUGUGAUUGUAAUGGGUAGACAUAAGCUUGUAGUUAAUGUUAGUAAUACUGUGUCACUACUAUUUUUUAGGACCUUUUGAUUUGUAUUUCAGUCAAUUCUGGAUGACAUUUUGUGAAAUUAUUAUUUUAUAAUUCUGGAUUG